GAUGAACGCUGGCGGCGUGCUUAACACAUGCAAGUCGAACGAAGCACUUUUGAUUGAUUUCCUCGGAGAGAUUUCACUUGUGACUGAGUGGCGGACGGGUGAGUAACGCGUGGGUAACCUGCCUCAUACAGGGGGAUAACAGUUAGAAAUGACUGCUAAUACCGCAUAAGCGCACGGUAUCGCAUGAUACAGUAUGAAAAACUCCGGUGGUAUGAGAUGGACCCGCGUCUGAUUAGCUAGUUGGUGAGGUAACGGCCCACCAAGGCGACGAUCAGUAGCCGACCUUGGAGGGUGACCGGCCACAUUGGGACUGAGACACGGCACAAACUCCUACGGGAGGCAGCAGUGGGGAAUAUUGCACAAUGGGCGAAAGCUUGAUGCAGCGACGCCGCGUGAACGAAGAAGUAUUUCGGUAUGUAAAGUUCUAUCAGCAGGGAAGAUAAUGACGGUACCUGACUAAGAAGCACCGACUAAAUACGUGCCAGCCGCCGCGGUAACAC
rnacentral:rRNA from 1 species